AUUGAACGCUGGCGGCAGGCCUAACACAUGCAAGUCGAACGAGUGGCGGACGGGUGAGUAAUGUCUGGGAAACUGCCCGAUGGAGGGGGAUAACUACUGGAAACGGUAGAUAAUACCGCAUACCAUCGGAUGUGCCAAGAUGGGAUUAGCUAGUAGGUGGGGUAAUGGCUAACCUAGGCGACGAGCCCUAGCUGGUCUGAGAGGAUGACCAUCCAAACUGGAACUGAGACACGGUCCAGACUCCUACGUGAGGCAGCAGUGGGGAAUAUUGCACAAUGGGCGCAAGCCGGAUUCAGCCAUGCCGCGUGUAUGAAGAAGGCCUUCGGGUUGUAAAGUACUUUCAGCGAGGAGGCGUUACUCGCAGAAGAAGCACCGGCUAACUCCGUGCCAGCAGCCGCGGUAAUAC
rnacentral:rRNA from 1 species